CAGAAAUCACUCAAAUGGCCCUGAUUAAAAGUUUAAAUACCCUUAAAUGUUUGGCCUUGUUACAGACACACAAGGUUACACACAGAGGUUAAAAUGUCAAUUAAAGGUUCAUUUCUCACAGCUGUUGGUUUUUAAAUUGCAAUUUGUGUCUGUGUAUAAAUAGUCAAUGAGUUUGUUAGCGCUCACAUGGAUGCACUGAGCAGG